rnacentral:rRNA from 1 species
UACGUAGGGUGCAAGCGUUAAUCGGAAUUACUGGGCGUAAAGCGUGCGCAGGCGGCUAUGCAAGACAGAUGUGAAAUCCCCGGGCUCAACCUGGGAACUGCAUUUGUGACUGCAUGGCUAGAGUACGGUAGAGGGGGAUGGAAUUCCGCGUGUAGCAGUGAAAUGCGUAGAUAUGCGGAGGAACACCGGUGGCGAAGGCAAUCCCCUGGGCCUGCACUGACGCUCAUGCACGAAAGCGUGGGGAGCAAACAGG